AUCACUAAGCGGAGGAAAAGAAACUAACAAGGAUUCCCCUAGUAACGGCGAGUGAAGCGGGAUCAGCCCAGCACCGAAUCCCUUGCCAUACUGGCAACGGGAACUGUGGUGUUUAGGACAGCCUAUGUGGCGGUGUUCGGGUGUCUAAGUCCUCCUGAUAGGGGCUUUGCCCAUGGCGGGUGUCAGGCCUCUACCGGCACCUGACGCCGUCCCUAAGAGCGUCCUCGGAGUCGGGUUGUUUGUGAAUGCAGCCCAAAGUUGGUGGUAAACUCCAUCUAAGGCUAAAUACUGACACGAGUCCGAUAGC
rnacentral:rRNA from 1 species